UGAGUCCUUUAUUGAAGGGGCAAUGUAAGCAUGGAAUCUCCAUGUCUGCCAUACAGACAAACAUGAAGUUCAAAUUCCAACAACAUGUGACCUUAGGCAACCCCUCUUCUUCAGUUUUUCCAUCUGUAAAGUGGAGAAAAUGCUUUCCUUACAGGGUUGUGAGAGGAUUAAAUAAGGCAAGAAUGAACAUAGUGCCUGAUUCAGCACAGGCAUUCGAUAAGUAUUAGUUCUUCCCUUUCCCCUAGAUGAAAAUAAGCCAAGGGAACAUUCUGUUCUGCAAACCAGUUCCCACCCUGCUCUUUCUAAACUUCAUUUUCUUUCAAUUUCCAGGAGGGGACCAAGUCUCUGUGGCAGUUUCCUGAUCUUCUGGAUAUGCUGCCAUGCUGUCCCAAGGCUGGUGGUGUCCCCUGACUUGUUCCUCUCCUGACUUUCUCAGCCUGGAGACUGAAAGCUCUCUUUGACUGUUGGCCCUCCCAGGCAGAGUCCACCGGCUGUUAGGGUGAAAUGGGGCUGAUGCUUCCUGGAAUCCACCAGAAGUAUGCAAAUUGCACCAUCUCUUUCAGCUGCCUGCGCCUGCAUUCCAUCGAAGAUUCCUGUAAGAAGAAACCAUCCUGUUCCUCUUUGCUCGACUCCCAGUGGCAACAGCUGGAGAGGAGGCAAGGAACCCUGGAACUGCCACCUGAUAGGCUGUCUUCCUAGCUCCUCUCGCACUGGCAAUCCUUUCAUCACACAGGCCUUGUUUUGAAGGGACCUAUCCCACCCACAGUGGUUUCUCACCUCUAGGAGGCCAAAAAGCUGUAGUCAAUUGCUGUGGCAUCAGGAACUCCAGUUCUUCUCAGAGGUGUUGUGAAGAGCUUCCCUUCCAACAGUACAUGGCCUAAAUACCAGGGAGGAAGUAUCUGACUCUUCCCAUUUUCAGUGAAACAGAACAACUGUUGUGGAUGCAGUGGCUUUGCAAGGAGAGUGGCAUUGUCUCUUGGUGAAUGUAGUUGUUCAGGGCAUGGGGAGGAGACAGGUUUAGUUUUGAU
rnacentral:lncRNA from 1 species